UGGGUAACCUGCCUGUAAGACUGGGAUAACUCCGGGAAACCGGGGCUAAUACCGGAUGCUUGAUUGAACCGCAUGGUUCAAUCAUGAAAGGCGGCUUCGGCUGCCGUUUACAGAUGGACCCGCGGCGCAUUAGCUAGUUGGUGAGGUAACGGCUCACCAAGGCGACGAUGCGUAGCCGACCUGAGAGGGUGAUCGGCCACACUGGGACUGAGACACGGCCCAGACUCCUACGGGAGGCAGCAGUAGGGAAUCUUCCGCAAUGGACGAGAGUCUGACGGAGCAACGCCGCGUGAGUGAUGAAGGUUUUCGGAUCGUACAGCUCUGUUGUUAGGGAAGAACAGUACCGUUCGAAUAGGGCGGUACCUUGACG
rnacentral:rRNA from 1 species